AGGCCAUUUUUGAUGCAGCUGACUGACUGUUCGACUAGCCAAAAGAGUUGCGUCUGGACCAAAUUUAGUCAAUGAGCAGUUGAGGCAACAGGAUUGGCAUAGACUGAUGCCUGCCUGUCAGGCCAUUUUUGAUGCAGCUGACUGUUGUUCGACUAGCCACAAGAGUUGCGUCUGGACCAAAUUUAGUCAAUGAGCAGUUGAGGCAACAGGAUUGGCAUAGACUGAUGCCUGUCUGUCUGGUGAGUCAGGCCUUGGUGUGUUUCUAAUAUGAAACUUCAUUAUCUACCGGUUUUAAAUAUUUUUUUUGGUGUAGUGGAAGGUUUAGUUUGAAUAAAAUAGGUUGUUUUUAGAUGCAAUGCCUUUCUUAUAUAAAGAAAACUUUUUAUUCAAUUUGAUGUUCUGCGGCUCUCAUUCUGAUGUUCCUUCGGAGUUCAAGUUCCUCACGGGAUGGAAGUGGGACACUGUUGAUAUUCCUAGGGACAUCAUGCGGGGGGGACAGAAUCAGAAUUUCCUCCUCUUCUGUUCCUAGAAGACCUGGGCUCUUUGCAUACUUUUCAAUCUCCUCCAAUAAAUUUGCCCUCCACUCAUUACACUUUUCCUCGUAUUUUGUUUCCAACUGAUAGGUCUUUCUCAGUUUUGAGAACGUAGUUUUGGUUCCAACCGAAGCCCUUCCGGUGUUAUGGUUGUGGUCCAAGACCGCAAGAAUGGUCUUGAGAAGCAUGUUCUCGUAAAAAAAAUGGACUCUCUUUGAUGCGUACACAAGAAUGACAUUAUGGAAGCUUUCCAAGUUUCCGGUGUGGACGAAGUGUUUGCAGUGUUUCAGUUGGUUCAAAAAUCGCGUAUUGUGAGUAACCUGUUGAUUUAAAAAUUUUAGUAACUGAAAAUAAUUAUUUGCUAAAUUCAACUUUUUUUAAUGCUGCAAAGGCAGAUUCAUCAGUAAUCCAAUCAAUUUUCGCUUCACUUUCAUCCUCAUAUGUCCUGUGAUCGCAGGUUUUUGUUUCUUUUCCUUCUUUCCACUGAUGUUUUCCUCGAAUGUGAUAAAGCAUGGAAUUCCAUUUUUCUAAUAGGGUAUCUGAAUCUCCUCCACAAGUGCUGCUAACAUGCCAAAUGUGGUUUACUAUGGCCUCUAUCCAUCCCUCAAUUUGCUUGUGUUUUUUGGCCACCGCUAUUAGUUUUUUCCUCAGCCCUUUGGCCAGAUGCCAGACCUAUUUAAAAAGUGGAAUAUUACUUAUAUAUUGCAGCUAGUUUACUUACGUCAAAAGCAUGCUCGACAUCCUUGAAGUUUUCUCGCAUCAUUUUUGCUACUGAAGGAUUCCGAUCUGUGCAGAAGAUUCGGACUUUACCAACUCCCAACUUUUCUACCAGUCUAUUGAAAACGUAAGCACAAGAUUUAGACUCCAUUUCCCCUGGUAGAAAUCCCUUUUGCCACAGCACGAAAUCGAUAAUUUUGUUGUUGAAGUUGCUCAUAAUCGAGUAGAGGGCAUAUUUUGCGCUGUGUCCUGGGGAGUCGAAGCGUGCGUCUCCGGACACAACCAAGUCAUCUUUACUUUGAAGAUCUUUGAAAAUUUCCUCUCUCAUCCUAAUCCACGAGUGUCGCAAGAUCGGGGCCGUGAAGUUAUUGAUAUGGCUGUAGAACGUUUGAUGCGAGAAGAAUGCGAGUCCAAUAGCGUCUGUCAUUUUGCGAAUAGUUGUGUAUCCAAUUCCAGCGCAAAAAAUAGCUGCAGCCAAGAGAAUGUUGAAAAUGGGGGUGUUUUUUUCUUUCGGAGUUGUGCUCCAAGAAAAUUGAUGGUCAUGCUUAAAACACCUUGUGUGAUAUGUAAUCACUGAGCCUACUCUUUUGCGCUCAACGGAAUUUAUGCUGGCACACACAGAACAAUGUUGCAUCAAAGUGUCUAGCUGACAAAUGUCCACAAUGACAAAUUUAAUUCCUAUCAUGUUGCUCUCCAGAUCUUCUUCAGUGAAUGAUUCGUCUGCAGUGGAUACAAUUGAGGAAUCAAGCUCAGGCUGCUCAUAAUCAUGAUCAAGUUCGUCAGCAUCAUCAAAAAUGGUCGAAGGAGGAGAAGAUGGAGGUGAUUUGAAAAUCUGUCCCCUGUCUGAAGAGUCCGCUGUCUCAGGCACAUGGAGAGGAACAUUUGAUGUUGGUGCACAGCUCUUGGGUUUUUUUACUGGUAUAUCGGGCUUGUGGAUCCCUUCAACUACUUUCACUGGAGACAAGAUCUUUGGCUCAAACGAUUGUUUGCGCUUGGACGUUGUUGGCGCUGGACGAAAUGAAAUUUGUUCG